rnacentral:tRNA from 1 species
UGGAUGGAUUCUUUGUGGUUUGUAUACUUGUCUGACUGCUCUUCUGUAUUAAAGACUUUCUUUUGUGUUUAUUCCCCUUUUAUUCUU